UGGUCUAAAAGUCAGAAACCACACCCACAUUAUAGCUUUACAACACGAGUUGUCUUGACUGCAUGCAUACAUUUAUUCAUAAUGUCAGAUAAGACAUAACACAACAACAUGGAGAAAUAUAUUCUACUGAUUCUUAUAACUGUGGCAGGUGCAUUUGCUGACAGCAUUGAACCAAAAGACAAGAAUACAAAUAUACUCAAGACUGAAGGAGAAUCUGUGACACUGAGCUGCACAUAUGAUACAACCAGCAACUACGUUUAUCUUUACUGGUACAGACAGCAUCCUAACAGUGAACCUCAGUAUUUACUGUAUAAAGGUGCUCGAACAUGGAGUAGUCAUGGGAAUAUAGCAGAUCAUCGGUUUAAGUCAACUACAUCAGAUUCAUCCACUGAACUCAUUAUUGACAGUGUAUCUCUGUCAGAUUCAGCUUUAUUUUACUGUGCACUGAGAGUUAGAGCCCAGUGA